CCUACGGGGGGCUGCAAUGAGGAAUAUUGGUCAAUGGCCGAGAGGCUGAACCAGCCAAGUCGCGUGAGGGAAGAAUGUCCUAUGGAUUGUAAACCUCUUUUGUCAGGGAGCAAAGUCACCCACGUGUGGGUGUUGGAGAGUACCUGAAGAAAAAGCAUCGGCUAACUCCGUGCCAGCAGCCGCGGUAAUACGGAGGAUGCGAGCGUUAUCCGGAUUUAUUGGGUUUAAAGGGUGAGUAGGCGGGUUAUCAAGUCAGCGGUAAAAUCGUGGAGCUCAACUCCAUCCAGCCGUUGAAACUGAUGAUCGUGAGUGGGCGAGAAGUAUGCGGAAUGCGUGGUGGAGCGGUGAAAUGCAUAGAUAUCACGCAGAACUCCGAUUGCGAAGGCAACAUACCGGCGCCCGACUGACGCUGAAGCACGAAAGCGUGGGUAUCGAACAGGAUUAGAUACCCUGGUAGUC
rnacentral:rRNA from 1 species